GUCCCACAGUGCUGGAGCCCGGGAGUCCAAGAUCAAGGUGUUGUCAGUGUUGGUUCCUUCUAGGGCCAUGGUGGAGAAUCUGCUCCAUGCUCUUCUCCAUGUUCCGUGUUCCCCGUUCCCCGUUCCUGUCUCCUAGCUUCUGGGGUUUGCUGGCAAUCUUUCAUGCGCCUUGGCUUGUAGAAGCUUCGGCCAGGUCUCUGCCUUCACCUUCACGUGAUGAAGAUGAACACCCCCUGGGUGUGCAUCUGUGUUCAAACUUCUCCUGUUAACAAGGACACUAGUCACAUUGGAUUAGGGCCCACCCUACUCCAUAGUGACCUCUUCUUAAAUAAUACAUCUGUAACGACCCUGUUUCCAAAUAAGGGCACAUUCUGAGGUACUCGGAGUUAGGACUUCAACAUAUAAAUUUUUGUGGGAAACAAUUCGACCCAUAACACAUGAUAUUACCCAGUUGCGAAGGAGGCUGGGAAAUGUGGUUCAGGUGGGCCCAGGGAGACAAAGAAACUGACUUGGUGAGCAGCUAGCCAUCUCUGCUACACCAUGGAAGCUUUCAAGCAGAGGCGUGACUGGAUCCGACCUGCGGGAGACCGCACACUUGAGGGUGGGCCCGUUUAGAGCUGCCCUGACUGCCUCUGCGCCAGCUGGAGGCCCUAGGUGGGUAGGUGUUUGGUGAACAUCUACGGAACUGAAGUGGAUUCAGAGCUGUGGCUAGAAAGGGGGAGCAGGUGGCACAAAGUUAGGGGAUGGGGCAUUUGUUAGCUGAGUGGUUAAGACAAUUCAGAAGUAGAAGCCAUAUGUAUACAUAUGCUCAUGUGUGGUAACUGCCUUAUGAUUCCGGCUUGGACGCAAGGCAAUUCUGCCACUCUGACCAAACCAACAGGAAACAGCUACAGGAAGAAAAGAAAAUUCACUCUACAAAUUUACUUUUGGCAUCUCCCUUGCUAAGGCAUCCCCAGGUGAGGAGAAGGGGUUGGGAUUUAAGGUAGAUGAGGGUUUUGCUACAAUUUCCUGCAUCUAACAGACCCAGCUCCUCGCCAGCUCCCCAUUCUGCAAGCACAGAGCCGUGAGGAAGGAAAGACUUUCCAUGGCCAAGGGACACAAACCCACUGACGGAGGACGAAUCUCUUCGAUGUUCUUCCAAGGCUAGGAAAGAUCAGGACGGGUCUUAAUCAAAGAGCUGGGAGCUGACUUCCGGCCCAGAAACCCUUAUUUAAGUCAGACAGGCAGCUCCCAUGACCCCGGGGGCCUCCAAUGUCCCAGGAGAGCAGAAGGCCACAUUCUCCACAAGAUCUAACAAAGCUGUCAUUUUCCAAGGGCCUCACAGGUGCCCCUGAGCAGACUACGUGCACACUGAUGGCUGAGCCUCUGAAACAGCAAGCUCCAUGUCACAGUUUUCAGCUCCUGUUCCACCUCUUCCGAGCAGCCUGGGCUGACCACCCUCUCUGAAGACGCCUUCGCCAGUCCUUGUGGCAAUGCAGACUGACAGCUCAUUGGCCCCUGCAUAGUUUGUCAGUCUCCUUCACAUCUCUCCCUCUUUCCCCCUCCGCCCUCACACUAGAGGCACGGGUCCGGGGGUGCCUCUCCCUCGUUCGCCCCACGUCCCCAGGCCCAGCACAGGGGCUGGCACAUGCUGGUGCCCAGUCAAGCUGUGCUGCGCUUUGAAUGACUUCUAAGCCCUGUGGCCUUCGGAGAGUCAUUUUCCUUCUGCAAACCCGAGUCUUUUCACCUGUAAGACAGAAGGGCUGCUGCCACUCCAGAAAUGUCUUCCAGGCCUGAGGGCCAUGAAUCUCAGUGCCCCCCUGCCCUGGGUCAACAUGUGCUACACGCUCAACCAACGUGACUCCCCGCUGGCGAACGUCAGUGACCACAGCUAUCGUAAAAUCUGGUCUUUUGUCUCCAAAAGGCAGCUCGUGUCCCCACACCACACUGCCUCUCUGUGGUUAAGCAGGAGCCAAGUAAAAUAGGAAAAGCUGGCAGCUGCUGUCGAGUGAGAGCGGGCAGUGUGUCCUGCGGUCUGCUCCACGCGGAGCCUCAGCCCCUUUGCCACAGCCUUCAGGACAAGCCCAUUACUCAUUUUACAAACGAGGAAAUGGAAGUGACUUCCCCAACUGCCGCCACCUGCAGGGGAGGACUGGAGAAGCGUGCCACGCUUACACGGUGCCGCGGCAGGGCUCCCGGGUCACACUGCCCACGUUCAAACCCCAGCUCUGCCGCUGGCUGGCUGGACUAGCCCCUCGCUGACUCGGUUUUCUUCUCCACAAAAUGGGGUAAUAAUAGCACCAAUGUCAUGGGGAUGCUGUGAGGAGGAAGUGUGUGCAGCUACGUCAAAGGCUGAGCGCAGCCCCGGACACCGAAAGUGGUGUCAGCUGCCACUGUUGUCUCUUCACUCGGCUGUCCCAGUCCUCAGGCUGCUCUAACGAAAACGCCACAGACUGGGCGGCCUAAACCACAGACAGGUAUUUCUCACGGUUCUGGAGGCGAGAAGUCUGAGACCAAGGGGCCGGCAGUGGGUGUUCUGGGAGAGCCCGCUUCCCGGUCCACAGAAGGCUGUCUUCUCACUGUAAGCCCCUGGGUCUCUCUAUCAGAGCACCACUCCUGUCAGCGAGGGCCCCACGCUCGUGACCUAACCACCUCUCAAAGGUCCCGCCUCCUGCUACCAUCACUUUGGACCUUUGGACGUUACGAUUCAACAUGAAUUUUGGGAAGGCGCAAACAUUCAGUCUAUAGCGCCAGAUCUGCUCCCUUACCCGGUGAUUCUCAAAGUGAGGACCCGACCAGCAGUGUUGACAUUACCAUCACCGCCAGGGAACUUCAUAGAAAUGCACAUUCUUGGGCCUCACCCUGAACUCGCUGAAUGGGGAACUCUGAGGGGGGCCCAGCAACCCGUUUUAACAGCCUGUGGGCCCCUCUCCUGCCUGUUCAAGUGUGAGAACGCUGCUUGUCAUCCCUGCCACCCUGCGAAGCAGAACAAAUGCUAGAGGUCAUAUUUCGUCGUCGAUUAUAAGACACACCAUUAUUUCAUACGCCACUGAGACAGAAAGAACGUUGUCAACGAAAUUAUAACACAGUCUUUUCUCAUCACGAUGAUUAGAAGACAUUAUUAUCUCAGAGAUGCUAAAAUGUGAAAAGAAAAUUGCAUCCCGGCGUCAGUGGAAUCUAGCAGUAGGAACAUUUUGAAGGAGGGAAACUACGUUGCUGCUCAUCUCUCCUCUCCGGUGGUUCGCAGCCCUGACUGCACAGAGCACUCACCGGGCUGCACGUUAGAAUUUAAAAAUCCCGGUGUUGGGAUAAUACUCAGGGGAAGACGAAGUCAAGUUUCCUGGUUCCUGAACAAGUAGAACUCGCCCCACAAGCCCCACAGCACUCCUUCCUCUCGUGGUACCGCUAAUGGACGUGGCAUGGAGGCGGCACCCCAGCUAGUUUCCAUUUCUUGACUUUGGGCCAGGGUCUGAAGGUCUCCCACAAACCUGCCCACCCCUCCCAGAGGCUUAGAGGUCACAGGUCCCGUUUCUGCUCUUCUAGAGCCUGACCUGGGGAGCCUUUCUGGCCGAGGAGCGGAAACCUCCCCCUUGAAGAAUCGGUGGGGUUGGCUGAGCCCCAGCGAGAGCCAGAGAGCCAGGGCUGAGAGCUGAGAAGAGACAUGCAUCAACCCUCCUAGGGUGGACCAUCCCCGCCCUCAGGCUCACAGGAGCCGUCCCCCCUGGGCUGUCAGAGAAGCAUGAACACUGUGCCAAGGUGAGCGGGAGGCUCAGGGUGUCAGGGGAAGUCGCCUUUGUUGUUUGUUCAAUUCUGCUUAUGGCCUGAGUGAUUUUGUGCAGAGCCUUGCAAGGAAGAUUUAAAAGAACUGACUGAAGAUGCUCUUGCUCCAUGAAAUGCCUUUCCUGUGCCAGUGGCAAGAGGCACGAGGCCAUGAGGCUGCUGUUCCAACCUGGUCCGCAGUGCCAAUCAGAAAAUGGUGAGUUAUCCAACUGCAGGGAAGGAAACAAUAACCACAACACGUGACACUACCGCAGGCGAACGCAGGGCCAGGCGAUCACUCGUGCUUUCAUGCCGGAGCUCCCCGAGUCCUCCCAGUGACCCCAGGAGAGACUACUGUUGUUAUAACCGCCCUGCUUAGUAGGAAAGAAAGCUGAGCCCAAAGCGGCUAGGCGCGUUGACCCAGUCCACACAGCUAACAGAGGCUCAUGCUAGAAUUCCAGACCACCUGCCUGUCUCUGGAGUCUACAGUCCUUGUCACCGUGCCAUUUAUCCAACAAACAUUCGUGCAGCUGCUCUGGAUCAGGCGCUGUCCCAGCAGAGGCUGCAGUUGACCAAACCCAACACAAAUCCAUGCCCGCACGGAGGGUGAGUUCUAGCGGGGGAGAGCGCGUUAACAGUAAACAUUAAAGUGAAUGCGUACCUGUGGUGAGGACGUCUGUGGAGGGGUCACGUGGCAAGGAGCUGAGAACCGUCCCUAGGAGCUGAGAGCAGCCCCCAGCCAACAGCCAGCAAGAAAAUGGGGACCUCAGUCCUCGAGUCACAAGGAAAUGAACUCUACUGACAGCCACAGGCUCUGAGCAGACCCAGCUCACAGUCUGAGUUCUGCCUCCGGAGAGGCUGAGUGGAAGACCCCGCUAGGCUGGGCCCCAACUUCUGCCCUCAGAACAGGAGGUAACUUGUCACGUGGCAGUGGACAGCCAAGGCGAUGCUGGUAACUACCUCCUGAGGUUGUUAUAACAGGAACGAUCUGCGUGCAAAGUGCUUGGACAGAGCCUGGAACGCGUGAAUAACUAAUACGGGGCAGCGGGGAUGUGAAAAAAUGUACAUGUGUAUAUGAUAUACGUGUGUCUGUGUAUUGUCAAUUGGUCCCAAGAAGAAAAAUAAAGCAGGGAAGGGAAUGGUAGGGAGCACUUAGGAGUGCACACAUGCAUGUGUGUGUGUGUGUGUGCGUGUGUGUGCGUGCGUGUGCGUGUGUGUGUGUGCGUAUGUGUGUGUGUGUGUGUGUGUGUGUGAAGGGGGUGUUCAUUAUUAAACAGGAUGGUCAAGGAAGGUUUUACUGAGAAGGUGAUAUUUGGGUCAUGACCUGAGAGAGGAAGACGGGGAGUUGGAGAGGAAGAAGAGAGGAUAUGGAUUUCGGGGAAGAAUGGUUUCGGGCAGAGGGAGCAGCAAGCUAAGGAAACCGUAGGAGGAACCAGGUUUGUCAGGUGUGAUGGAUCAGAAUAUUCCCUCUCUUUUCCCUCUCUGCCCGCCUGCACCCUCUCGGGCCUCCAGGGCUGCACCAGGCCCCAGCCCACCUGCACCCCCUCGGG
ensembl:lncRNA